AUCUCCAGACACUUCUUGCCAUGUCUCAGUCCAAUGAAACCCACGUUGAGCCCAUGCACCAACCUGUUAGCCACGACAGCUCUUUUCUUCUUCUAUAUAACCACUGUCCUCGCCAUGCAUCAAGGCAUCGGCAGGAAAUUCAGCUUCUUAGUCAUUUUCAGAACUUAACCCAGCAGAUGGCGCUUCAUAUCAUCAUCCUCAUAGCGGGCGUACCCAUAGGGGUCGCUACCUAUGAUGAUUCACAGUUCUGGCCCAUUGAUGCCGAUCAGUGGGUUUAUGUUUGUUUUGAUAGCCCGUGAUCAUAACGUUUAGUCAGGGAUUUAUUUUGUUUAUGUAUAGUAAUGACACUGCUAGUCCGGACCAGUUUGGAGAUAGUAGAAGUUACCUCCAAGAAGUAGUUCGAAGACCGGAUUAGUUUUUUUUGUAUAUGAUCAGUGUUUUAUUUUGUGAUCCCUGGCUGUUUGUAUUAGCUGAAAUAUUACGAAGACUUAUAACAUAUGUGAAAUUAUGGGUAUUAAUCUA